GGGGUCUUCUGCAGGCCUCAGCACUCCAGGCACUGAUUCGGUAGAGGCUAUGACCAGAAACAUCAUCCCCACAGUGACCGGGAGCAGUAGAGGGAAGAGGGCUCCCAUCAGAGUGUUUGAAGGCCUGCUUUAGCUGAGCCCAUGUCCAAAUUAGGCCAGCUCCAUUCUGGGGCUGCCUGAAUUCAUGAGGGGCCCUGCCUUCCAACCUGACGGAUGGAUCGGUUCUGCCAUCGCCGGGGACGGUGUGAACAGACUCUCUGUGGCUUGAGUUCGCGGCUGCAUCUCCCUACGUGGAACCUCAGAAACCAGCCCCUCCCAUUAUUGAUGGUCCCCAUGGGGCCCAGAGAUCUUGGUUUGAGUCCCGUCGCUGCUCUGGUUUGCUGUGUAACCGUGUGGGUCGCCUGGCCCCUCUGCGGUCCGGUCUUAUCAUCUCCCCUGUCUCAGCUCAGCCGGCUGGAACAGACACCACAGACCAGCGGCUUAAACAACAGGCAAUCUCCUCCUCAUGGUUCUGGAGGCAGAUAGGGUUCUUUGUGAGAGGCGCUUUGGGCUUUAUAGGCGGCCACCUCCUGGCUGUGUCUUCAUGUAGCCAAACGUGCUCCGUCUCUCUUCCUCUUCUUCUAAGGACACUGAUCCCAUUGCAGGGUUGGCGGGGGGGAACUCCCCCACCCUCAUGCCCUCAGCUGUACCUAAUCACAUCUCAGGCCCCACCCCAACUGUACCUAAUCACUUCUCAGGCCCCACCAUCCCCGGCACUGGGGAUGCUAGAGGGACACAUUCAGGCCCUGACAUCCCCUAACUGUCCAUCUAAAGGCUUCUCUGUAAACUGGGUUUGG